rnacentral:rRNA from 1 species
GACAGAGGAUGCAAGCGUUAUCCGGAAUGAUUGGGCGUAAAGCGUCUGUAGGUGGCUUUUUAAGUCCGCCGUCAAAUCCCAGGGCUCAACCCUGGACAGGCGGUGGAAACUACCAAGCUGGAGUACGGUAGGGGCAGAGGGAAUUUCCAGUGGAGCGGUGAAAUGCGUAGAGAUUGGAAAGAACACCGAUGGCGAAGGCACUUUACUGGGCUAUUACUAACACUGAGAGACGAAAGCUAGGGUAGCAAAUGGG